rnacentral:rRNA from 1 species
UACGAAGGGGGCUAGCGUUGCUCGGAAUCACUGGGCGUAAAGGGUGCGUAGGCGGGUUUUUAAGUCAGAGGUGAAAUCCUGGAGCUCAACUCCAGAACUGCCUUUGAUACUGAAAGUCUUGAGUAUGGGAGAGGUGAGUGGAACUGCGAGUGCAGAGGUGAAAUUCGUAGAUAUUCGCAAGAACACCAGUGGCGAAGGCGGCUCACUGGCCCAUUACUGACGCUGAGGCACGAAAGCGUGGGGAGCAAACAGG